AAAAGAUGAAGAGGAUGAUGAUGAUGAUGAUCCCCUUCUUCUCCUCCAUCUUCUCCUUCUUUUCUUCUUCUCUUUUCCUUUCUCUCUUUUCCUUCCUCUCUUUUCCUUCCUCUCUUCUUCCCCUUUGUCCUCUUCCACGAUCGGAGAGAGAGAGAGAGAGAGAGAGAGCAGUAAGGGAGUGAGUGAGAGAGAGAGAGAGAGA
rnacentral:lncRNA from 1 species